AAGAAAAGAGAGAGGCAAAUAUCACGGAAUGGAGGGAAAUAGAUUUUGGGAGGGAUAUGCAGAGCGAAACCAGAGAGAGGGAGAUCUGAGCAGAGACGUCGCCCUCGCAAUCGUGCCGUGCGUCUCCGGUCGAUGUCUUUGGUAGCUGUCACCGUCCGGUUGUCUGGGUCGCCGUCGUCACGUACCCGUAACUCUGAGUCGCAGCGGGGUGGGUGAGAUAGAGAUCUGUGGUUGCCAUGAGAGGUGAUUCGGUUCUCCCAACCCAGUCCUCCGCAUAUUCUUGUUUGGGUACUUUGACACAAGCAGAGUUCGGGCCUCGUGGGUGGAUCUGUGUCAAGCCAUCAUCUCAGUGAAAAUUAUUCUUGGAGCAUGGGAAGCGGGAAAGAACAGCCAUCUACGCAAACAUCAUCUAGCUCAAAUCCCCCAUCCGUGAUGCACUUUGGGUUUGAUGGAUCACAAUCGUUGCACCAUGGGAUGGACGGAUCACAACCACUGAAAUGAUUUUUGUGGCUUGAAUGGAUUUUUGUGGACUUCAAUGUAUUUUUUCUGGACUUUAAUGUAUUUUUGUGGACUUUAAUGUAUUUGUUUGUGGAUUGAAUGUAAUCUAGGGAUUUGUUUUUGUAGAUUUAAUGUAUUUUUAUGGACUUUAAUGUAUUUGUUUUGUAGAUUUAAUAUAUUUAUGUGGCUUGAAUGUAAUCCAAAGAUUUUUUUGUAGAUUUAAUGUAUUUUUGUGGCUUGAAUGUAAUAUAGGGAUUUUUUGUGGAUU